rnacentral:rRNA from 1 species
AGUGAACGCUGGCGGUAGGCCUAACACAUGCAAGUCGAACGGCAGCACAGUAAGAGCUUGCUCUUACGGGUGGCGAGUGGCGGACGGGUGAGGAAUACAUCGGAAUCUACUUUUUCGUGGGGGAUAACGUAGGGAAACUUACGAUAAUACCGCAUACGACCUACGGGUGAAAGCAGGGGAUCUUCGGACCUUGCGCGAUUGAAUGAGCCGAUGUCGGAUUAGCUAGUUUGCGGGGUAAAGGCCCACCAAGGGGACGAUCCGUAGCUGGUCCGAGAGGGUGGACAGCCACACUGGAAGUGAGACAGGGCGCAGACUCCUACGGGGGGAAGCGGUGGGGAAUAUUGGACGAUGGGCGCAAGCCUGAUCCAGCCAUACCGCGUGGGUGAAGAAGGCCUUCGGGUUGUAAAGCCCUUUUGUUGGGAAAGAAAAGCAGCAGGUUAAUACCCCGCUGUUCUGACGGUACUCAACGAGUAAGCACCGGCUAACUUCGUG